GACGAACGCUGGCGGCGUGCUUAACACAUGCAAGUCGAACGAAGAGCGAUGGAAGCUUGCUUCUAUCAAUCUUAGUGGCGAACGGGUGAGUAACGCGUAAUCAACCUGCCCUUCAGAGGGGGACAACAGUUGGAAACGACUGCUAAUACCGCAUACGAUCUAAUCUCGGCAUCGAGGAUAGAUGAAAGGUGGCCUCUACAUGUAAGCUAUCACUGAAGGAGGGAUUGCGUCUGAUUAGCUAGUUGGAGGGGUAACGGCCCACCAAGGCGAUGAUCAGUAGCCGGUCUGAGAGGAUGAACGGCCACAUUGGGACUGAGACACGGCCCAGACUCCUACGGGAGGCAGCAGUGGGGAAUCUUCCGCAAUGGACGAAAGUCUGACGGAGCAACGCCGCGUGAGCGAUGACGGCCUUCGGGUUGUAAAGCUCUGUUAAUCGGGACGAAAGGCCUUCUUGCGAAUAGUGAGAAGGAUUGACGGUACCGGAAUAGAAAGCCACGGCUAACUACGUG
rnacentral:rRNA from 1 species